GGGGAAUAUUGCACAAUGGGCGCAAGCCUGAUGCAGCCAUGCCGCGUGUAUGAAGAAGGCCUUCGGGUUGUAAAGUACUUUCAGCGGGGAGGAAGGCGAUGGGGUUAAUAACCGCGUCGAUUGACGUUACCCGCAGAAGAAGCACCGGCUAACUCCGUGCCAGCAGCCGCGGUAAUACGGAGGGUGCAAGCGUUAAUCGGAAUUACUGGGCGUAAAGCGCACGCAGGCGGUCUGUUAAGUCAGAUGUGAAAUCCCCGGGCUUAACCUGGGAACUGCAUUUGAAACUGGCAGGCUUGAGUCUUGUAGAGGGGGGUAGAAUUCCAGGUGUAGCGGUGAAAUGCGUAGAGAUCUGGAGGAAUACCGGUGGCGAAGGCGGCCCCCUGGACAAAGACUGACGCUCAGGUGCGAAAGCGUGGGGAGCAAAC
rnacentral:rRNA from 1 species